ensembl:lncRNA
UGCUCUGCAUGGUGGUGUUCGGGCUGCCAACACUCCCUGAAGGACUGGUUGGUCCUCAAGCCGCGUCGGGGACGGGGGGCCCCAUUCCUCCCCCAAGGGUGAGAGAAGGCGCAGAGGUGAAAAGGGGAAACGGCGAAGUCGGGACGAUGGGGUGCUGUAAAGCUCUCCGCCGAAGCGGGUAGCCACCUUCACCCCCGAGCCCUUCCUAGCCGACCCAGAGCCGGUCGCGGCGCACCGCAGCCGGAGGAAGUGCGCCCGGCGGAGGCCGAGCCCGACCGGGCGGCGGUCCCCAGAGGGGAUCCGACACGCACCGGAAGGGCCGACCGGACCCGCCGGGUUGAAUCCCCCGGGCGGACGGCGCGGACCCCAUCCGUUUACCUCUUAACGGUUUCACGCCCUCUUGAUCCUGUCUUUGCUCCCUCACCCCAACAGCAGGACAGUGGCCCACAGUGGACCCUCCACGCUCCAUGUAUGUCUUACCUACACUCUCUGUCUUGUCUUACUAACUUUGUACACACACCCCUCACCCUAGAAGCACCCCUGCCCACCCUGUACCCUCCGUGUGAGUCUUCAUGAUAUCUCACUAACAGUCUUGUGUCUUACUAAUAUUGGUCAGCCCAGAUCCCCUUCCAAGGCCUCACCAUCAGCAUCUUCCUGUCCAGAUGUCCUUUUGAUGACAUUUGUUGCAACCAUAGGACCCUGACUACAGCUUCACGCAUAUUACCAUCUUCGCUCCCUCACCCCAGCAGCAGGGCAUUGGCACACAGUGCCCUUCACAUUGUGUCACUGAGAAUGUAGACCGACUUUUCCUUGUUUAUGAUUUGCUGCUCAUUUGGGAUUUUUACUUUUAUGAUAUCUUCUAGGCGGUUGGCAACCUGCACAAGGGUUUUUUUUCCCAGAUCUUACCAUUGUUUUAAUUUUAUACAGCUUUGUGUCACUAUACCUGAAAAUGAAAAUAUACCCUCAUGGUUUAAUAAAGUGUAUAAAGGAAUAUUGUAUUGUAUUGAAUUUAAUUUAAUUAAGACCACCACCUUCACACACACACUCUGUUACUGAACUCACAAGGUAGUAGGUUGUAUGUAUAAUGUCCAUUUCCUAGUCUGUUAAAAGAUAUGUGUAUUAUGUUAUACGUUUUUUAGCUGCAUUAACGGCAUGGUCAUGGUCAAUUUUUUGCCCCA